rfam:Frankia symbiont of Datisca glomerata, complete genome.
GGGGGUGACCGGUUUCGACUUCGGACGUCGGGAUAGGGGAAGCGGGCCGAGGAUGAGCGGUUAUCUCGUAAACGAUCCGCUCGAAGAAACAACUGCCAACAAGUCGCAGUCUGCUACACCCCGCACUUUCGCCCUCGCGGCCUGAGCGGGAUCAAGUAGCCGUCAGCCUGAGAGUGCCUCCGGCUCAGGAUCUGGCGUCGCCAGGAGGAUCACCUUCUGAUUCGGUCACGGGAUCGGCAAGGAACACCUCACAGUGACUGAGCCCACACCGGCUUGCCUGCGUGACCGGUGGGGCUGAGAAACAACAAGCAGGCUGCGCCCGGAGAAGCCCUGUUGCGGGGCCGGAGGACGCGGGUUCGAUUCCCGCCACCUCCACGA